rnacentral:rRNA from 1 species
GAUCCUGGCUCAGGACGAACGCUGGCGGCGCGCCUAACACAUGCAAGUCGAACGGGGUUAUACGGGAUGAAGUUUUCGGAUGGAAUUCUAUAUAACCUAGUGGCGGACGGGUGAGUAACACGUGAGCAACCUGCCUAUCAGAGGGGGAUAACGAUUGGAAACGAUCGCUAAUACCGCAUGACAUAGCGAAACCGCAUGGUUUUGCUAUCAAAGAUUUAUCGCUGAUAGAUGGGCUCGCGUCCG